rnacentral:rRNA from 1 species
GACGAACGCUGGCGGCGUGCUUAACACAUGCAAGUCGAACGGAAAGGCCCUGCUUUUGUUGGUUUCUCGAGUGGCGAACGGGUGAGUAACACGUGAGUAACCUGCCCUUGACUUUGUGAUAACUUCAGGAAACUGGGGCUAAUACCGGAUAGGAGCUCCUGCUGCAUGGUGGUGGUUGGAAAGUUUCGGCCGUUGGGGAUGGACUCGCGGCUUAUCAGCUUGUUGGUGGGGUAGUGGCUUACCAAGGCUUUGACGGGUAGCCGGCAUGAGAGGGUGACCGGCCACAUUGGGACUGAGAUACGGCCCAGACUGCUACGGGAGGCAGCAGGGGGGAAUAUUGCAGAAUGGGCGGAAGCCUGAUGCAGCAACGCCGCGUGCGGGAUGACGGCCUUCGGGUUGUAAACAGAUUUCGAAUGUAACGAAGAGUGAGUGACGGUAAUGGGUAAAGAAGCACCGGCUAACUACGUG